rnacentral:misc_RNA from 1 species
UCCGAGUUGACCCCGGCAGUCUCCUAUGAGUCCCCGCCAUAACGCGCUGGCAACAUAGAACGAGGGUUGCGCUCGUUGCGGGACUUAACCCAACAUCUCACGACACGAGCUGACGACAACCAUGCACCACCUGUGAACCGGCCCCAAAGGGGAAACCACAUUUCUGCGGCGGUCCGGCCCAUGUCAAGCCUUGGUAAGGUGGGGAUGACGUGGGAGGAAUUCC